ACGUAUGCAUACUUGUAUACUGUGCAGACACACAUACCUACAUGUAUGCAUUAACAUAUUACCUCUCUUGACACAGACAACAAACCACAUUAUUGUAAGAAAACUAGGCUAAUAUGUUCCAUACAAUUAUGUGUGUUGCAGCAGAUGAUCAUUCACUAAAAUCAGACUAAACAAACUUUGCAAAGAAUAAAGCAGAAUGUGCACCUACUAAAAAUAUCAUUGUUCAGGAGCCAAGAAGUGUUACAGUUAGUGAAUCACAACCACUCUCUCAUCCGAAGCAACUACCUCUAACUAUGACAAACGAAAUUUACAAAAUCUCCAAAGUAUUUUAAUGCCUCCUAUUCUUCGAAAACGUGGCCGUCCAAAAGGCCAUGAAUUGACUGUGAUUGGUUUACCGGCUAAGAAGAAAGCAAAGACAGGAAAAGUACAACCAUUCAUUAAAUUACACAUAUCAUUGAAAGAAAGAGUCAUGUUAGCAUGGUUUGUUGAUGACAAUAUAGCAGCUGCUGCACUACAAAAUCCCAAGACGCUGAUCAAUGAAUCAGACAUCAAAGUUCAGCAAGAAAACAUCUCUAAUGCAGUCCUUGAUGACAAUGUUGACUUGCACAUAAUUCGAAAGUUUUUCACCGAUGAUGCCUGGCUACUACUUACAGAUGUUGUCAAGCAGAAACGUAAACAUUGCAGUUAUGUUUGCCAAGUUUGCUUUCGCAACUUGGAUGAGGAAGCAUCAAUUUUGUGUGACCAUUGCCUCUUGUGGUCCUACAUGAGUUGUAUUGGUCUUAAAGAAAGACCCAAAUCAAAGUGGUGGUUUUGCCGAAGCUGUCACAAGACUAGCAAAUAAGAUAAACUGGCUGUAGAGGCAACCGUUGCUAUGUAAAUUAGACACGUGUGUGUAUUAUGUGCAAGCUAUGCAGUGUUGUUUGACUAUAUAUUAAGAGCAAGAUCUGGCAGAGCAGA